CGGCUCAUCCCUUCUGGGGGUUGAAGAGGGUCCCAAGGGUAUGGGUUUUGGCCAUUUAAGUGGUUCGCGAAGUUGGUUUAGAACGUUGUGAGACAGUUUGGGUCCCUAUCUGCGGUGGGCGUAGGAUGAUUGAUUGGGGCUGCUCCUAGUACGAGAGGACCGGAGUGGACGCAUCAUUGGUGUUCCAGUUGUCUCGCCAGAGGCAUUGCUGGGUAGCUAAGUGCGGAAGAGAUAAGUGCUGAAAGCAUCUAAGCACGAAACUUGCCAAGAGAUGAGUCAUCCCUGACUUUAAGUCAGUAAGGGUUGUUGUAGACUACGACGUAGAUAGGUCUGGUGUGUAAGUGUAGUGAUACAUUGAGCUAACAGAUACUAAUUGCCCGAGAGGCUUAACU
rnacentral:rRNA from 1 species